rnacentral:rRNA from 1 species
AACGAACGCUGGCGGCAUGCCUAACACAUGCAAGUCGAACGAGACCUUCGGGUCUAGUGGCGCACGGGUGCGUAACGCGUGGGAACCUGCCCUUAGGUUCGGAAUAACUCCCCGAAAGGGGUGCUUAUUACGGGUUAUGUUCUCCGGCCAAAGAUUUAUCGCCUUUGGAUGGGCCCGCGUUGGAUUAGCUAGUUGGUAGGGUAAAAGCCUACCAAGGCGACGAUCCAUAGCUGGUCUGAGAGGAUGAUCAGCCACACUGGGACUGAGACACGGCCCAGACUCCUACGGGAGGCAGCAGUGGGGAAUAUUGGACAAUGGGCGAAAGCCUGAUCCAGCAAUGCCGCGUGAGUGAUGAAGGCCUUAGGGUUGUAAAGCUCUUUUACCCGGGAUGAUAAUGACAGUACCGGGAGAAUAAGCUCCGGCUAACUCCGUG